rnacentral:rRNA from 1 species
UGCAAGUCGAACGAUGAAGGGGAGCUUGCUCCUGGAUUAGUGGCGAACGGGUGAGUAACACGUGAGUAACCUGCCCUUAACUCUGGGAUAAGCCUGGGAAACUGGGUCUAAUACCGGAUAUGACUCCUCAUCGCAUGGUGGGGGGUGGAAAGCUUUAUUGUGGUUUUGGAUGGACUCGCGGCCUAUCAGCUUGUUGGUGAGGUAAUGGCUUACCAAGGCGACGACGGGUAGCCGGCCUGAGAGGGUGACCGGCCACACUGGGACUGAGACACGGCCCAGACUCCUACGGGAGGCAGCAGUGGGGAAUAUUGCACAAUGGGCGCAAGCCUGAUGCAGCGACGCCGCGUGAGGGAUGACGGCCUUCGGGUUGUAAACCUCUUUCAGUAGGGAAGAAGCGAAAGUGACGGUACCUGCAGAAGAAGCGCCGGCUAACUACGUGCCAGCAGCCGCGGUAAUACGUAGGGCGCAAGCGUUAUCCGGAAUUAUUGGGCGUAAAGAGCUCGUAGGCGGUUUGUCGCGUCUGCCGUGAAAGUCCGGGGCUCAACUCCGGAUCUGCGGUGGGUACGGGCAGACUAGAGUGAUGUAGGGGAGACUGGAAUUCCUGGUGUAGCGGUGAAAUGCGCAGAUAUCAGGAGGAACACCGAUGGCGAAGGCAGGUCUCUGGGCAUUAACUGACGCUGAGGAGCGAAAGCAUGGGGAGCGAACAGGAUUAGAUACCCUGGUAGUCCAUGCCGUAAACGUUGGGCACUAGGUUGUGGGGGGACAUUCCACGUUUUCCGCGCCGUAGCUAACGCAUUAAGUGCCCCGCCUGGGGGAGUACGGCCGCAAGGCUAAAACUCAAAGGAAUUGACGGGGGCCCGCACAAGCGGCGGAGCAUGCGGGAUUAAUUCGAUGCAACGCGAAGAACCUUACCAAGGCUUGACAUGAACCGGUAAUACCUGGGAGACAGGUGCCCCGCUUUGCGGUCGGUUUUACAGGUGGUGGCAUGGGUUGUCGUCAGCUCGUGUCGUGAGAAUGUUGGGGUUAAGUCCCCGCAACGAAGCGCAACCCUUCGUUCUAAUGUUGCCAGCACGGUGAUGGUUGGGGACUCAUAAGGAGACUGCCGGGGUCAACUCGGAAAGGGAAGGUGGGGGACGAACGUCAAAUCAUCAUGCCCCUUUAAUGUCUUGGGGCUUCACGCCAUGCUACAAUGGGCCCGGUACAAAGGGUUGCGAUACUGUGAGGUGGAGCUAAUCCCAAAUAGCCGGUCUCAGUUCGGAUUGGGGUCUGCAACUCGAC